rnacentral:rRNA from 1 species
UACGUAGGGUGCAAGCGUUGUCCGGAAUUAUUGGGCGUAAAGAGCUUGUAGGCGGUUUGUCGCGUCUGCUGUGAAAUUUCGGGGCUCAACCCCGAACUUGCAGUGGGUACGGGCAGACUAGAGUGUGGUAGGGGAGACUGGAAUUCCUGGUGUAGCGGUGAAAUGCGCAGAUAUCAGGAGGAACACCGAUGGCGAAGGCAGGUCUCUGGGCAUUAACUGACACUGAAAAACGAAAGCCAGGGGAGCAAACGGG